UAGGCAACAGGACUCAUAAUUAUUGAAGGAGACUUGGAAUCCACAGAGAAAGGAGCUGAGCUGGCAGAGUCCUGUUGCCUAAAGGUGGAUGAGCCAAUCAGAAUGAUGGACCAGAACCUGAAAUGUCUGUGUGUUGCCGAAGAAAAGCACUCUCAAAAAGAAGCCAAAUAAGAGGAAGAGAUCAAGAUUCUUACUGAUAAACUCAAGGAGCCAGCAUUUCAUGCAGGUUUUGCUGAGAAAUGAGCAGCCAAGCUGGAAAAGACAAUUGAUGAUUUGGAAGAUAAACUGAAAUGCACCAAAGAGAAGCACCUCUGUAUACAAAGGAUGCUGGACUAGACUCUGCUUGAAGGAAAU
rnacentral:lncRNA from 1 species